rnacentral:rRNA from 1 species
GACAGAGGGUGCAAACGUUGUUCGGAAUUACUGGGCGUAAAGCGAGUGUAGGCGGUUCGGUAAGUCGGAUGUGAAAGCCCCGGGCUCAACCCGGGAAGUGCACUCGAUACUGCCGAGCUAGAGUAUCGGAGAGGUUGGUGGAAUUCUCGGUGUAGAGGUGAAAUUCGUAGAUAUCGAGAGGAACACCGGUGGCGAAGGCGACUACCUGGCCUGUUCUUGACGCUGAGGCGCGAAAGCCAGGGGAGCAAACGGG